UCAAGGUAAGAAGGGCAUAUGGUGAAUGCCUUGGCAUCAGGCGGCGACGAAGGACGCAGCGGACUGCGAAAAUCCACGGGGAGUUGUGAGCGAGCAUAGAUCCGUGGGAUUCCGAAUGGGGCAACCCGGCCAGCGAAGAGCUGGUCAUCAUGCGCUGAAUACAUAGGCGUAUGAAGCGAACCUCCCGAAGUGAAACAUCUCAGUAGGGAGAGGAAGAGAAAUCAAACGAUAUUCCCUGAGUAGCGGCGAGCGAACGGGGAAGAGCCCAAACCUUUUUUAGCAAUAGAGAAGGGGUUGUAGGACCGCGUAAGUACCAAUUAAUGCAUAUAGCUGAAGCGGCAUGGAAAGGCCGACCGUAGAGGGUGAUAGUCCUGUAGGCGGAAUGUGUGUUAUAGGGAAGCGGUAUCCUGAGUACCACGGGACACGUGGAAUCCUGUGGGAAUCUGGGGGGACCACCCUCCAAGGCUAAAUACGUCCUGAUGACCGAUAGUGAACUAGUACCGUGAGGGAAAGGCGAAAAGAACCCCGGCGAGGGGAGUGAAAUAGAACCUGAAACCGUAUGCUUACAAAUAAUUGGAGCGGAGCAAUCCGUGACAGUGUACCUUUUGAUUAAUGGGCCGGCGAGUUACUGGCUGUAGCGAGGUUAAAUGCUUAAGGCAUGGAGCCGAAGGGAAACCGAGUCUUAAACGGGCGAAUAGUUACAGUCAGUAGACCCGAAGCCAGGUGAUCUACCCAUGGACAGGGUGAAGCGAAGGUAAGACUUCGUGGAGGCCCGAACCGGUGUUUGUUGCAAAAAGCUCGGAUGAGCUGUGGGUAGGGGUGAAAGGCCAAUCAAACCUGGUGAUAGCUGGUACUCCUCGAAAUGUAUUUAGGUACAGCCUGCAGGUAGUCGCAGGGGGGUAGGGCACUGAAUGGGCUAGGGCUACGUAGGUAGUACCAAACCCAAUCAAACCACGAAUACCCUGGCGGACGUUCCUGUGGAGUGAGACUGCGAGUGCUAAGAUCCGUAGUCGAGAGGGAAACAGCCCAGACCGUCAGCUAAGGUCCCUAAGAUAGUGCUAAGUGGGAAAGGAUGUGGUUUUACUCAGACAGCCAGGAUGUUGGCUUAGAAGCAGCCAUCAUUUAAAGAAAGCGUAAUAGCUCACUGGUCGAGUGACACUGCGCCGAAAAUGUAACGGGGCUCAAGCACUACACCGAAGCUACGGACUUGUCGCAAGGCAAGUGGUAGAGGAGCAUUCUGUGCACCUGUGAAGGUGAGUCGUGAGGCUUGCUGGAGGGGACAGAAGAGAUUAUGUCGGCAUAAGUAGCGAAUAGGCUGAUGAAAAGUCAGCCCGCCGUAAACCUAAGGUUUCCUGGGGUAGGGAAAUCCGCCCAGGGUUAGUCGGUCCUAAGGCCAGGCUGAAAGGCGUAGCCGAUGGACAGCAGGUUAAUAUUCCUGCACCAUAUGUUGUGCGUUUGACUGAAGAGGGGACGCAGGAGGAUAGUUUGAGCCUGGUGAUGGUUCAGGUCCAAGCGUGUAGGCUGGUGAGUAGGCAAAUCCGCUCACUAUUAAGGCUGAAGCGUGACGGGGAAGCCCGCAAGGGUGAACUCAGGUGAUUCCACGCUGACGAGAAAAUCCUCGUAGGGAGUACAACGUGUGACCGUACCGCAAACCGACACUGGUAGGUGGGUAGAAGAUACCAAGGCGGACGAGUUAACCCUCGCUAAGGAACUCGGCAAAAUAACCCCGUAACUUCGGGAUAAGGGGUUCCUAGCAAUAGGACGCAGUGAAGUGGACCAAGCGACUGUUUACCAAAAACACAGGUGUCUGCAAACUCGUAAGAGGAAGUAUAGGCACUGACUCCUGCCCGGUGCCGGAAGGUUAAUAGGAGGGGUUAGCCGCAAGGCGAAGCUCUGAAUUGAAGCCCCGGUAAACGGCGGCCGUAACUAUAACGGUCCUAAGGUAGCGAAAUUCCUUGUCGGGUAAGUUCCGACCUGCACGAAUGGAGUAACGACUUGGUCGCUGUCUCGGCGAGGGGCUCGGCGAACUUAAGAUACCGGUGAAGACGCCGGUUACCUGCAGCUAGACGGAAAGACCCCGUGCACCUUUACUAUAACUUGGCAGUGAGUUUUGGCAAUACAUGUGUAGGAUAGGUGGGAGGCUAUGAAGCGGGAACGCUAGUUUUCGUGGAGCCGACGUUGAAAUACCACCCUUGUGUUUCUGGGACUCUAACCUGCACCCCUUAUCGGGGUGGGGGACACUGUCUGGUGGGUAGUUUGACUGGGGCGGUCGCCUCCUAAAGAGUAACGGAGGCGUUCAAAGGUCACCUCAGGCUGGACGGAAACCAGCCGUUGAGUGCAAAGGCAUAAGGUGGCUUAACUGUGAGACUGACGGGUCGAGCAGAUACGAAAGUAGGACUUAGUGAUCCGGUGGCACUGUGUGGAAGGGCCAUCGCUCAACGGAUAAAAGGUACGCCGGGGAUAACAGGCUUAUCGCGUCCAAGAGUUCACAUCGACGACGCGGUUUGGCACCUCGAUGUCGACUCAUCGCAUCCUGGGGCUGAAGUAGGUCCCAAGGGUUCGGCUGUUCGCCGAUUAAAGCGGUACGUGAGUUGGGUUCAGAACGUCGUGAGACAGUUCGGUCCCUAUCUGCUGUAGGCGCAGGAGACUUGAGGGGGGCUGUCCUUAGUACGAGAGGACCGGGACAGACAGACCUCCAGUGUUCCAGUUGUCACGCCAGUGGCAAUGCUGGGUAGCUGUGUCUGGUGAGGAUAACCGCUGAAGGCAUCUAAGCGGGAAGCCCACCCCAAGAUGAGGUCUCCCAGGGAGUAAUCCCUCUGAAGGUCCGUGGUAGACCACCACGUCGAUAGGCUGGAGGUGUAAGCGCAGUAAUGUGUUCAGCUUACCAGUACUAAUAGACCGUGUGCCUUGACCAU
rnacentral:rRNA from 1 species